UCAUCUAUAACACGAACUCGAGUUUCUCAAUCUAGCGUAGAAUGUAAUCUAAUCGAAUUAGAAUCUCAAUAUAUAUGAAUAAUAGAUCAGAUUUUGCUCCACUAAGAGAAGAAGAAAACUAACCGGCCAGAGGAGCUGCGAUGAUUGAUGGUGAAGGCGAAGAAGGAAAACGGAGACAAUCAAGUAUCCUGCAAAACAUGAACAAAUAGAAACACAAUCAACAAACGUACGCGAAAUCAUCUCCCAAAUAGGUGAAACAAAAAUUUUGAUUAAAAAUUUCAUCAAGAACAUCAACCCACACGAAAAGCUCUGGAGUUAACCCCCU
rnacentral:lncRNA from 1 species